CUAUGAUCAUAUUUUACAGAAAUAAAGAUUCUCCCUUAUAUUUUUAUAACACAAACCUGCAUAUUCUCUCCUUCGAAAGAGUAUUUUGACAACUGCAGCAACCGUUGCCUGUUUUGCUAUGGAAAAUUGUUGAUUUGCCGCUUGAUUGCGUGCGUGCCAGUGCUCCAGAGAGAGUGAUAGAGAGAGAGAGAGAGGGGAAUGCAGUAGUGGGAGGAGUAAGCUGCGGUUACCGAGUGUAUAGGGUAGAGGUAGAGGGUACCCUCGGCCGCUCUCUUGGGGGCACCUGCACACCUGAACGACCAUUUGGGCGAUUAUAGAAUUGCACUUGGAGUCGAGACGAAACAGCAAGAGUCGAGUCGAGUGUCGAUUAUCGAUAGUGUUUGAGUGUGUGUGUGUGUGUGUGGGGAACUCAACGGGAAACGUGUUAAAGAAAGUUGUAGGCCGCCCCAAGGGUAUCGAUCCAUUAAAUGCUUGAAAAACGCCACCUAUUGUCGGAACAGGGAGGUAUAAUUUGGAGAAGGAAAAUACUUUAAAAUAGCUUCAUUCCUUAGCUGUACCUAUGCCUACCUUCCGAUCUGCUGUCAUCCCUGUAGUACCUUUUCAACUCUUCCCUGAAUACCCCCUUCAUUCAUUCCUUAUGGCAACCCUGAGUUACUCCUGUCCUUCUCUGACCACUGAUAUGUGUGGUUGUACCUCCCUGGAACACUCGUGGAGGGAGCUCGAGCACUUUUAUGACACACAUUUUAAUGCCGGAAGUCUGCCCCGUGGCGUUCAAAGCGGGUCAGUGGCAGGCAGCAAGCAGCAGGCGGAGAAAGGAGAGUGGCGUGUGUGGCACCCAACCGGGUGACCAGAGCCUGGGAACGGAAGCUGCUCUGUCAGUCUCACAUCCCAGCACCAGCGGCAAACAGUCAUUAACAGCUCCACCAAACAGAGCCAACAAGAGCCAAGAGGCCAGCAGCCAGCAGCCUGGUGGUAAUUAAGCGUCCUUUUUUUUGCUUGCCACAAAAAACUUAAAGCCCAUAGCCCAAACCCCCAGUUGCAGUAGCAGCUGAAGUUGCAGUUGCAGUUGGAAACGAGCGACGAGAGACUCCACGUUCA
rnacentral:lncRNA from 1 species